rnacentral:lncRNA from 1 species
ACUUCUGGCCUUAAGUGAUCCUCCUGCCUUGGCCUCCCAAAGUGUGGGAUUACAGGCAUGAGCCACUGUGUCUGGCUGAAAUUGGAAUUCUAAAGAAUCAAAUUUUGCCCCAAUUUGCUGUGCUGCCUGUGCUUGGAAUAAACAUUUUGCAGCCAUACAGAAAUCAGAAGAUUUAUUGAGAAUACGGUACAUGCUCCUAGUGGGUAGAGAGGAAUCAGACAUAGCUCCCGCCGUCAAGGAGAUCUGAGUUUCAUGAUGAAGAUACAAAAAUGAAAAUGACUAUGUGUGGAAUGUGCUAAUAGUGAUAUGAGCAGGGCAAGCUCAAGGCACGAGGGAAGGUCAAAGGAAGCUUAUGAAAGAAAGAGAUUCUUCGGCAGUGUUAAGAGAUCUUUGAAGACAAAAGCCAACAUGCUGAGGAUGGUGGGAGAAAUAAAUGUGAAGAUUUCAAGUGUCUGUGUGGGAUCCUGUGAUAUGCUGUCCAGAUCUCACUGCAGGAAGGAAAGAUAAUUACUCCCACCCUUCGAAGUGCUGCUGCCCUCAACUGUCGAUCCCUUCAGGGAUUGUAUCAGCAGCACAGAGCGUCCCUUCCUAAGGUCCUAAAUCCCAUAACUAAUGGGCUCAGGAUCUCUAAGAUGGCAGCCUUUUCCUCCUAAUGGAAGAGAGCUCUGAAAGGUCAUCUAGUCUCCAGAACUCCUCAUUGAAGGUCAGCUGUUUUCCCUGGGCCUUUAUAACAAUUGGACUUCUCCCUGUGCAAAUGCUGCCUCUUUUUCUUUCCUUCCACAAUGUUGAUCCCCAAAGUACUCUGCAGUAAACCUUUCGCAGGCUAAAAACAAUUUUAGAGUCUGAUUCUUGGGGAACCCAACCUGCACCAGUCCUUGAUGGCUGUUUUGGGCUGCUGAACUAACUAUGGAUCAUUUAUAUCUAGGUAUUUUGUUAAGCUACCAAUACACAUAUCUUAUGGUUUAAACUAUAUUUGACACUGAU